CGGUCCGCUCGGGGCUGAGCUCGGAGGUCCGCCGCCGCUGGCGGGGGCCGGGCGGGGAGCCCUCGCCGAGCGGCUGCGAAGCCGCCGCGGGCAGGGCCGGGCGGCGUCCUCACCUGUUCCAGCGGGCCACCUUCCUCCGAUGGAAGGAAAAUGCUACCAGAGGGAAACGUAGGACAUCAGAAGUGAAGGAAGAGCAACAGAAAUGGUUCACCCCUGGCCUGCCCAAGAAGCACAGAGAUGGAAAAGUUGGGAAAUCCGGAGCUGGUGAAGAAAGAGGAUCACAGCACAUCUGAGAACUUUGCCAGGAAGUGGUUUUGGAAAAGUGACUUAUACUGAUGGCCCAUCCUGUAUAAGUUUGUAGCACGGUGAGAUAACCUAAUGGUAAUUAAUUCAAUUAUUGAGAUAAUGCCAGAGGCAAAUUUGUUUUGCUGUGUAUUAUAGGUGGUGAAGGAUCUUGGCUUUGGAGGGAGAAUACCUACAUUUUGACUCCUGGCUCUGGCACUUUCUAUAUUGUUGACCUUUCGCAAGCUACUCAAACUGGCCAAGUUACGUGAUAAGAUCAUUGAAAUAUUGUGAUGCAUGCUGACAGCUUAGUAGGAGGAAUGCCUGGCCUUUGGCCAGCACAGAAUAAAUAUUAACCUGCGAUAACAAUCCUAUAAAUACUUGUUUUGGGACUUUCCAUAUUGGUGACAUGGGUCUCCUUCAAAGUUGUUUCUCACAUUGACCCCAGGGCCACACAUGUCACAGCUUCUGCUGCAUGUGUUCACUGCUACAAAAAGCCUGCCUUAAGAGCAUAGCAAAUGCCACGCCAUGUUCUUCUUGCAUCCCGGGUUGCUGCUGGCCUAGGAAGUGCCAGAAUGCCUUUAUAAAAAUUAAUUCCAGAGGGGACCCCAGAGAAAUUCAUUGCAAGUAGCCCUCCCAUUUUGCAUGAGAAAACAGAGAAGCUCCAGAGAGGAGAAGUGGCUUGGCUCAGGCCUCUGUGGUGUCGUUUUCUGCCUGCUGAGCUAUUCAGGGCCAUGUUGCCACCAUAGAGCUCUGGGAGGGGCCCAGGACUGAAGAUGCUGGCAUUUCCACCAAGGACACUGUCUUUGAUGGGCCCAGAGUUGCUAGUGCCCAUUCCUGCUUCCCAGGCAGCUGCGGGUUCUAGGGGUGCAGACGGUCUGUGCCACAGCCUUGGGCUCUGCUAAUUUGUUGGUACAGCUGAGCUGCCAAAGUUGCUCAUGUUUUCUACCAAACAGGGGGUCCUCUCUCUUCCCACUGUGUAUACCAUGCCUGGGCUCCAGGCCGGCGCUGGUCUGAGUGACAGAUUCCCAUGCAGUCCCCAAAAUGUUCUCUCAUUCCCCCAUGAUUGAGACAUUUUUCUCUGAUCAGCCUUCGAUGAUUAAGUAAAUGUGCCCAGCAGGCCUCUAGGGAUGCCUACUCGCACCUGAAUCUGCAGGGAAACACAGCUUAAGUUCAAGUCAAGAUCCCUGCUACAUAGAGAACAAUGGCGGUUUGUUUUUCUGAAACUUCUGCAAGAGUUUUUGGCUCUUUCGUACCCAAGAAAAGGUCAGAAUGAUCCCGAUUCUUUAAUAUGUGCAAAAACUCACUGCAUGGAAAAAUUUUUUAUUGUGGUAAAAUUCAUAUAAAAUUUCCCAUAUUAGCCAUUUUAAGUGUACAGUUUGGUAAUAUUAAAUACAUUUACAUGUUGUGUGACCACCACCACCAUCCAGCUCUAAAACUCUCGUCAUCUUGGAAAAUUGAAGCCCUCUGCCCAUUAGACAAAUUCCCCGACCUCCUUCCCUCCAGCCCCUGGCAAACACCACUCGCUUUCUGUCUCUGUGAUACUACUCUAGGUAUCUCAUGUAAGUGAAAUCAUAUGGCAUUUAUUUUUUUUGUGAUGGGCCUAUUUCACUUGGCAUCAUUUCCUCAAGGUCCACUCAUGUGAUAGCAUAUGUCAGAAUUCCCUUCCUUUCUAAGGCUGAAUAAUAUUCCACUGUAUUCAUGCUAAGUUGUGCUUAUCCAUUCAUCCUCUGAUGGAUGCUUGAGUCACUUUCGCAUUUUCGCUGUGGUGAAUAAGGCUGUUAUGAACACGGGUGUACAAAUACCUCUUCAAGACUCUGUUUUUAAUUCUUUUGGGUGUAUACCCAGAAGUGAAAUUGCUGGACCAUUUGGUAAUUCUAUUUCUAAUUUUUCAAGGAGCUGCUAUACUGUUUCCCACAGUGGUUACACUAUUUUCCAUUCCUGCCAAAGGUUCCAGUUUCCAUGCCAAUACUUGUUAUUUUCUGUUUCGUUCUGUUUUGUUAAUAGUAGCCAUACUAAUGGGUAUGAGGUGGGGAGCAACUACAUUUUAAAGCAACUUUGUUCUCAACUGGACAACCUUAUGAUGGUAUGUUUACCUACGUGAACGUGAAUUAGGGUAUUUCUCCAGGCUGCCUGUUACUGUUCUAACAUGAUGCUAUUGUUACAUGAAGAAUGGACGGGCAGAUCCAAGCAGAAAGACACAGUCAGUGCCUAUGUCAUGAGAAAAUGGAAAGGAAUCCAGGUAGGAUGCUUCCUAAGGGGCAAGGGCAGUUCAGUGCAAGUGGGAACAAGGCCCAGGGGAGCCGGUGAGUGCCUCGUGAUAGACUGGUCAAAUUAUGUCUCUUGGACUAAGGUCCUCAUUAAAGGCCUGCACCUCAGACACAUUUUGGCCUCCCCAAGGUGCAUCAUUAUGGAAGACCCAGCAUGAUAAUAGUAAUUUAAAUGAAGUUAAAAGAGCAGUCUAAAUUAGAACAGGAACUCAUGUUUCAACUUCUCUCCAGGAGAGUCUCAAUGGAAUAAAGAAAAUGCACCAAAGAAUAAUGAGGGAAAUAAAACUUUCGAAGGUGAACUUUACCAGCCCCAACGAGCAGCGUUUAGAAAAAUGCAGCAUAUCCUGUGGCUCUAAGGGUUCUAUUGUUUUCUUCCAAGUCAUUUCUUUACAGAACAAGGUUCAGCAGCUUGCUUUAGCCUGUGAUUCAAUCACAUUCUGUUAGGGCCUUUCAUCAAUUGCUACUUUGUCCUUACUAGCAUAGCCAUUGCUAAAUAGCUACAUGACGCCCCAUGAGGGUGGGAUUCAGAAUGACUUUCUUGGGGAAUCCUGGGUAGAGGAUGGAGCAUUUUUUUCUGCACUUGCCUCUAGCUGUGCCCCACUGCAAUCUUUCACGGGCUUGGCACCCAGCAGGCGAAGGCAAGAUAGGGAGAAAGGGAGCAGGGAGGGGUCAUUUUCUUGCCAUGCUUUAAAACACCCAACAGAGGAAAUGCACGGCAAAUGUGUGGGAGUUUGGCUGACCAGUGGUGAAAAAUAAGCACAGUUUCCUCUUAUUUUCAUUCCUAAGUGGUGAGGAGUCAGUAUUUCCUGCCAGGAAGAGAAGUGUCACCGAGAAGGUGUCAUUUGGGGACCAAAAAAUAUCAAUAACCUGCAACUUUCUAAAAAUUCUCACCUCUCACUCAUCAGUAUCAUUUCUUAAAGUGAUAUUGAGUCUUUUAAACUGGGCUAAAUCAUUGUGCUACUUGGAGUCCUGAGAGAUUGGCACCUCAAAGCAUCAUGAUUUUCUCACACAUCUGAAUGCUUGAAGCAAUUCCAAGUCCAGAGAUCAUUCUGUUAUCUACCCAUCAGUUCAUCCAUCCUUCCAUCUUCGAGGUGCUUCUUAAUUCUCAACUGACUUUAUACCGUCUAACAUUGGUCUUUUGUGGUCUUGUGACCACUGAUACUUCCAGGUAUAUCUAUUAGCUUUUCCAGUGAGACUGCAUCUCCUGGUAUCUAGAAAGAGAACAUCUAAUAGUUUAAAAACAUUUCAUCAACAUGUAGAGCAAAAGGCCAGGUGCCCAACAGGUGGGCAAUAUAUUCUUGUUAAAGUAAGACCUGGGAAAUGAUUUGCUCAGCCUGGCAGGCGAAGGGCUGCAAACAAGCCCUCCUCCCCAUGCCCCUGCAAGACUGCUGAAAUUGUGGUCAUUUUUCAGACUGUGGUUUACAAGAUGGGCAGAACUGCCUCAAUUACACAAAACACAUGGUGCUGCCCAAAGAAAAAGCCUGUCGAGUGCAGGGCAGUCCGCUGACAUUGAUUCUCAGGUCUUGGAGCUUCCAGAUCUCCUGUUUGCCCUGUCACGGGCACAUCCACCUUCAAGCCGCCUUGCGCUCUUGCUAGCAUCUUCUUUAGUCCCUGGUAGCAACUGCCGCAUUAGUGCAGAAAGAACCACACUUGACCUUCCAGACUCUGAGUACCAUGUUUUCUUCCUUCAUCGUCUUCUUUGCCAGACAUUUAAUGAGUAGCUGCAGGGGACCAGGCAUUGGACUGGGCAUGGGGGAAUAUAGUGGUGAAUAAUGCAUAAUCACCACUCUUUAGGGAAGUGGAGCCCUCAAGACAGACAACAGAUAACCACAAUUUACUGUGAUAAGCAUAACAGAGGAACAAAAUGGAGAGGACCUAAUUCUGCCUGUGAGCU